rnacentral:rRNA from 1 species
CAGCCGCCGCGGUAAUACCGGCGGCCCGAGUGGCGGUCACUAUUAUUGGGCUUAAAGCGUCCGUAGCCGGGGUGGGAAGUCCUCCGGGAAAUCUGGCCGCUUAACGGUCAGAAUGCCGGAGGAUACUCCCAGCCUAGGGAGCGGGAGAGGCCGAGGGGAUUCCCGGAGUAGGGGUGAAAUCCUAUAAUCCCGGGAGGACCACCUGUGGCGAAGGCGCUCGGCUGGAACGCGUCCGACGGUGAGGGACGAAGGCCAGGGGAGCAAACCGGAUUAGAUACCCGGGUAGUCCUGGCUGUAAACGAUGCGGACUUUGUGUCGGACAAGCUAUGAGCUUGUCCGGUGCCGGAGGGAAACCGUUAAGUCCGCCGCCUGGGGAGUACGGCCGCAAGGUUGAAACUUAAAGGAAUUGGCGGG